GAUGAACGCUAGCUACAGGCUUAACACAUGCAAGUCGAGGGGAAACGACAUCGAAAGCUUGCUUUUGAUGGGCGUCGAACGGCGCACGGGUGAGUAACGCGUAUCCAACCUGCCCACCACUUGGGGAUAACCUUGCGAAAGUAAGACUAAUACCCAAUGACUUCUCUAGAAGCCAUCUGAAAGAGAUUAAAGAUUUAUCGGUGAUGGAUGGGGAUGCGUCUGAUUAGCUUGUUGGCGGGGUAACGGCCCACCAAGGCGACGAUCAGUAGGGGUUCUGAGAGGAAGGUCGCCGACAUGGGAACUGGGACACGGUCCAAACUCCUACGGGAGGCAGCAGUGAGGAAUAUUAGUCAGUGGACGGGAGUCUGAACCAGCCAAGUAGCGUGCAGGAUGACGGCCCUAUGGGUUGUAAACUGCUUUUAGAAGGGAAUAAAGUGAGUCUCGUGAGACUUUUUGCAUGUACCGUAUGAAUAAGGACCGGCUAAUUCCGUG
rnacentral:rRNA from 1 species